rnacentral:miRNA from 1 species
AACAGGUUACAUGUGGAGCAGU